rnacentral:rRNA from 1 species
CUUCGGGUCUAGUGGCGCACGGGUGCGUAACGCGUGGGAAUCUGCCCUUGGGUUCGGAAUAACAGUGAGAAAUUGCUGCUAAUACCGGAUGAUGUCUUCGGACCAAAGAUUUAUCGCCCAGGGAUGAACCCGCGUAGGAUUAGCUAGUUGGUGGGGUAACGGCCUAACAAGGCGACGAUCCUUAGCUGGUCUGAGAGGAUGAUCAGCCACACUGGGACUGAGACACGGCCCAGACUCCUACGGGAGGCAGCAGUGGGGAAUAUUGGACAAUGGGCGAAAGCCUGAUCCAGCAAUGCCGCGUGAGUGAUGAAGGCCUUAGGGUUGUAAAGCUCUUUUACCAGAGAUGAUAAUGACAGUACCUGGAGAAUAAGCCCCGGCUAACUCCGUGCCAGCAGCCGCGGUAAU